UACAGAGGUCUCAAGCGUUGUUCGGAUUCAUUGGGCGUAAAGGGUGCGUAGGCGGCGCGGUAAGUCGGGUGUGAAAUCUCGGAGCUUAACUCCGAAACUGCAUUCGAUACUGCCGUGCUCGAGGACUGGAGAGGAGACUGGAAUUUACGGUGUAGCGGUGAAAUGCGUAGAUAUCGUAAGGAAGACCAGUGGCGAAGGCGGGUCUCUGGACAGUUCCUGACGCUGAGGCACGAAGGUCAGGAGAGCAAACGGG
rnacentral:rRNA from 1 species